CGACCAUUAAGCCCUGUAGCUUAGCGUUGGGAGCCUUCGGUUGUAGCGUAGCUCCUCAAAGUCAGUGGCGGAGUUAUGGCGUACUCUGAGCGUAGUAAAUCUUUUCUCGCUUCUGUAGUCGCCCUAGCUGCCUGCCGUAAAACCCCCUAUAUUUCUAGU
rnacentral:misc_RNA from 1 species